rnacentral:rRNA from 1 species
GCGGUGAAAUGCGUAGAUAUCAAGAGGAACACCUGCGGCGAAGGCGGGUUGCUGGGCCGACACUGACGCUGAGGCGCGAAAGCCAGGGGAGCGAACGGGAUUAGAUACCCCGGUAGUCCUGGCCUUAAACGAUGAAUGCUUGGUGUCUGGGGUUAUAUAGUCCCCGGGUGCCGUCGCUAACGCUUUAAGCAUUCCGCCUGGGGAGUACGGCCGCAAGGCUAAAACUCAAAGGAAUUGACGG